GGGUUGUGAGGUUAAGCGACUAAGCGUACACGGUGGAUGCCCUGGCAGUCAGAGGCGAUGAAGGACGUGCUAAUCUGCGAAAAGCGCCGGCGAGGUGAUAUGAACCCUUGACCCGGCGAUGUCCGAAUGGGGAAACCCAGUGCAAUCCGUUGCACUAUCGUUAACUGAAUACAUAGGUUAACGAGGCGAACCGGGGGAACUGAAACAUCUAAGUACCCCGAGGAAAAGAAAUCAACCGAGAUUCCCCCAGUAGCGGCGAGCGAACGGGGAGCAGCCCGGAGUCUGAAUCAGCUUGUGUGUUAGUGGAACGGUCUGGAAAGUCCGACGGUACAGGGUGAUAGUCCCGUACACGAAAGCACACAUGCUGUGAACUCGAAGAGUAGGGCGGGACACGUGGUAUCCUGUCUGAAUAUGGGGGGACCAUCCUCCAAGGCUAAAUACUCCUGACUGACCGAUAGUGAACCAGUACCGUGAGGGAAAGGCGAAAAGAACCCCGGCGAGGGGAGUGAAAAAGAACCUGAAACCGUGUACGUACAAGCAGUGGGAGCCUCUUUAUGGGGUGACUGCGUACCUUUUGUAUAAUGGGUCAGCGACUUAUAUUCUGUAGCAAGGUUAACCGUAUAGGGGAGCCGAAGGGAAACCGAGUCUUAACUGGGCGUUAAGUUGCAGGGUAUAGACCCGAAACCCGGUGAUCUAGCCAUGGGCAGGUUGAAGGUUGGGUAACACUAACUGGAGGACCGAACCGACUAAUGUUGAAAAAUUAGCGGAUGACCUGUGGCUGGGGGUGAAAGGCCAAUCAAACCGGGAGAUAGCUGGUUCUCCCCGAAAGCUAUUUAGGUAGCGCCUCGUGAACUCAUCUUCGGGGGUAGAGCACUGUUUCGGCUAGGGGGCCAUCCCGGCUUACCAACCCGAUGCAAACUACGAAUACCGAAGAAUGUUAUCACGGGAGACACACGGCGGGUGCUAACGUCCGUCGUGAAGAGGGAAACAACCCAGACCGCCAGCUAAGGUCCCAAAGUCAUGGUUAAGUGGGAAACGAUGUGGGAAGGCACAGACAGCCAGGAUGUUGGCUUAGAAGCAGCCAUCAUUUAAAGAAAGCGUAAUAGCUCACUGGUCGAGUCGGCCUGCGCGGAAGAUGUAACGGGGCUAAACCAUGCACCGAAGCUGCGGCAGCGACACUAUGUGUUGUUGGGUAGGGGAGCGUUCUGUAAGCCGUUGAAGGUGUGCUGUGAGGCAUGCUGGAGGUAUCAGAAGUGCGAAUGCUGACAUAAGUAACGAUAAAGCGGGUGAAAAGCCCGCUCGCCGGAAGACCAAGGGUUCCUGUCCAACGUUAAUCGGGGCAGGGUGAGUCGACCCCUAAGGCGAGGCCGAAAGGCGUAGUCGAUGGGAAACAGGUUAAUAUUCCUGUACUUGGUGUUACUGCGAAGGGGGGACGGAGAAGGCUAUGUCAGCCGGGCGACGGUUGUCCCGGUUUAAGCAUGUAGGCGGAGGUUCCAGGUAAAUCCGGUACCUUAUUAACGCUGAGGUGUGAUGACGAGGCACUACGGUGCUGAAGUGAUAAAUGCCCUGCUUCCAGGAAAAGCCUCUAAGCAUCAGGUAACACGAAAUCGUACCCCAAACCGACACAGGUGGUCAGGUAGAGAAUACCAAGGCGCUUGAGAGAACUCGGGUGAAGGAACUAGGCAAAAUGGUGCCGUAACUUCGGGAGAAGGCACGCUGAUGUGUAGGUGAAGCCCCUGCGGGCGGAGCUGAAAUCAGUCGAAGAUACCAGCUGGCUGCAACUGUUUAUUAAAAACACAGCACUGUGCAAACACGAAAGUGGACGUAUACGGUGUGACGCCUGCCCGGUGCCGGAAGGUUAAUUGAUGGGGUUAGCGGCAACGCGAAGCUCUUGAUCGAAGCCCCGGUAAACGGCGGCCGUAACUAUAACGGUCCUAAGGUAGCGAAAUUCCUUGUCGGGUAAGUUCCGACCUGCACGAAUGGCGUAAUGAUGGCCAGGCUGUCUCCACCCGAGACUCAGUGAAAUUGAACUCGCUGUGAAGAUGCAGUGUACCCGCGGCAAGACGGAAAGACCCCGUGAACCUUUACUAUAGCUUGACACUGAACACUGGUCCUUGAUGUGUAGGAUAGGUGGGAGGCUUUGAAGCGUGGACGCCAGUCUGCGUGGAGCCAACCUUGAAAUACCACCCUUUAAUGGCUGGUGUUCUAACGUGGACCCGUAAUCCGGGUUGCGGACAGUGUCUGGUGGGUAGUUUGACUGGGGCGGUCUCCUCCCAAAGAGUAACGGAGGAGCACGAAGGUUGGCUAAUCCUGGUCGGACAUCAGGAGGUUAGUGCAAUGGCAUAAGCCAGCUUGACUGCGAGCGUGACGGCGCGAGCAGGUGCGAAAGCAGGUCAUAGUGAUCCGGUGGUUCUGAAUGGAAGGGCCAUCGCUCAACGGAUAAAAGGUACUCCGGGGAUAACAGGCUGAUACCGCCCAAGAGUUCAUAUCGACGGCGGUGUUUGGCACCUCGAUGUCGGCUCAUCACAUCCUGGGGCUGAAGUAGGUCCCAAGGGUAUGGCUGUUCGCCAUUUAAAGUGGUACGCGAGCUGGGUUUAGAACGUCGUGAGACAGUUCGGUCCCUAUCUGCCGUGGGCGCUGGAGAAUUGAGGGGGGCUGCUCCUAGUACGAGAGGACCGGAGUGGACGCAUCACUGGUGUUCGGGUUGUCAUGCCAAUGGCACUGCCCGGUAGCUAAAUGCGGAAGAGAUAAGUGCUGAAAGCAUCUAAGCACGAAACUUGCCCCGAGAUGAGUUCUCCCUGAGACUUUAAGUCUCCUGAAGGAACGUUGAAGACGACGACGUUGAUAGGUCGGGUGUGUAAGCGCAGCGAUGCGUUGAGCUAACCGAUACUAAUGAACCGUGAGGCUUAACCUUACAACGCCGAAGGUGUUU
rnacentral:rRNA from 1 species